AUGGCGACUGAGGUCAAUCAGACUUUUUUUGCGUGGUCACAAGGAGAAACAACUGACCUGGGUGUUUCUGAAGGAGUUUCUGUAUCCCAGACACUCAACCAUGGUUCCGUAUCCUUCGGAAGAUUUGAACUUGAGUCACUAUCUUGGGAGAAGUGGUCUGUAUUUAGUAAUGACAAACGCCAUGAAGAGUUUGUUAAGUUCAAUGGUUUAGUAGCUCAGAAGAAGGCAUAUUUUGAAGAGUACUACAAGAAGAUCAGGGAACUCAAGGCUUCACAGCAGCAAAUUCAGCAAACUGAACUCACCUUGGAAUACAGUGGUGAUGGAAGUGAUUCUAGCCAAACAGAAGAUAUGCCGGCCGAAGAGCUUGAAACUCCCACAGGAUCUGGAACAAUUGUCUAUGAUUAUGUGGAAGGAGCUGCACAUGAGACCACCUCUGAACAGGGCAUGCAAUGCUAUCAUGACCAUGAAGACGAGGACUUCCGUAACGAACUUUCUUCAUCCAAUCUUGUUUCAGAAGCCAGAAUUUCACAGCAAACCGAUCAGGAUGGUAGAAAAAAUGCUCUUGGUGAUAAUUCAGAUUCGGCCGAUGUUGAAAAUGCAGGUUUUGGUCACGACGGUCUUGGAGCAGCUCAUGAAAAUGCAAGGGCUCCUAGAAGAAAUACAGAGAAAGACCCCAGACUUAGAUAUGCUUCCAUGAUAAUACCAAAAUCGGUUAAAACUGUUGCGGGCAGUCCUCUGGACCGGACAUCUGUUACUAAGACGCCUGGUUCAGUGAAGCCUAACAUGAUUACAAACCAGAAGACUAAGACGAACAAUGUCCGUAGCUCGAGUGUGGCAUCACAGAAGAUGGCCGGCGCGCCACGGACUCGCAGGAUUACAGAAAAAGAAGCACUCGGGGUUACAGGUGUCAAAAGACCUUCCUCAGCUGCCGGGCGCGUCACUUCUAUCGGAGAGAAGCAUCCCAUCACCAGGGCAACUGCUAAGAAGCCUGCUGAUGUCUCCACCCCAGGACGCCCUUCCACUGCUGAAAGACGCCCUGUCACCAGAGAGCGUGCACAGAAGCAAGCUGCUGUCGCCACGCCAUGCCGGCCUUCCACCUCUGAAAGACGCCCCGUUGACAGAGGAAGUGCAGCAAAGCGUUCUGAUGUUGAGGGUACACGUCGGCCCUCUACAGGAGAAAGACCCUCUGUUACCAGGGAUAGUGUGAGAACUCCUAGCAAGACAGCGGCAUCAAGUGUGGCACAUCCAAAGGUUACAUCGACCACUGUGAGCACUCUGAAAAGGCCAGCCCCUCUGAAUGCUACUACUAAAAGUACCAAGCCAGAGCCAAAAAGCAAUAUCAGAGGAUCGAAAGAUGCUUCAACAUUGCAGAGUCACUUAACUAGGCCAGCAAGAAUGGACUUGCAAGUGGCUGGCAAACAAAAAUCAAGCUCGGUAAACCUGCCAGCAAGGAAAAUGCUGAGUUCCAGUGUUGGAGAAGCAACUUUUGCUAGGCUGAAAAAGAAAGAGGGCAUUCCGGCGACAGGGCAAUCUCGAGCAUCCGCAUCGAAGAAAACAACUCCUUUGCAGACAGGAAACACCAAGUCCAGGGCACCAAACCCACCGACACCGCCGCCUCCACCACGUCGUCCGUCGAGAACAACGAGCAAACCAACUGUCAGCGGCUCAUCAGUUGGUGGAAGAAAGCCAAAGGCCUCGACAACACAAUGGCAUUGA
rnacentral:rRNA from 1 species